GACGAACCGAGCAAGCGUUAUUCGGAAUCACUGGGCUUAAAGAGUCCGUAGGCGGCGCGUUAGGUGGGGUGUGAAAUCCCUCGGCCCAACCGAGGAAUGGCGCUCCAAACCGGCGUGCUUGAGGAAGGUAGAGGUGAGCGGAACUGAUGGUGGAGCGGUGAAAUGCGUUGAUAUCAUCAGGAACACCGGAGGCGAAGGCGGCUCACUGGGCCUUUUCUGACGCUGAGGAGCGAAAGCGUGGGUAGCGAACAGG
rnacentral:rRNA from 1 species